GCUCCCAGUAAGAGCUGUAGAGCUGUAGAGCUAUAGUGUUUGACAGAGUUCUUGUUAGAUUUUACUUGGAUGCUUUGCUCAAGAAAGAGUUCCUGUCCUACCUUUUCUGUAUACCCCAGAAAUAAAAGCCACAGGGUUCCUGUUCAUUGUCUUACAAGUGCUUUAGCUUGCUUUAAAUAGAUGGCCGUGGAAAUAGAUUCCCGUGGCUACUUUAAUUAUAGAGGAACCCUCACAUGACUGGGUUUUGAAAAUAAGUUAUUUUGCUUUGGAUCUCUGCAAAACCCUGGCAAACUGACAGGUCAACCUUGAGGAUAAUGACUCAGAUAAAGAGGCCACCAUAAAAGUAAGCAUAAAGACAUACUCAGUUAAUGAUGUGCUGCCAUCAGGUAUCCCUGAAGUGUGCAGCAUUAGUACAAGGCAGGGAGACUGCCCCAAAGGGCAGUUAGAUUACUGGAGAGUUGAAGUAUCUGGGAAAGCAGGCAUGGCCACGCUUCACAUUAGGCCUUCACCAUGAUGGUCACAGGAGUAAAAACAUAUCAAAGUAGAAUUCUUUACCAUCCCAGAAGUCAGAACAUCGAGUUAGAAAGUGGCAAAGGGCGAGGUUCUGGAUCCUUGACAGUUUUAUGAAAACUUCCCAGU
rnacentral:lncRNA from 1 species